rnacentral:rRNA from 1 species
UACAGAGGUCUCAAGCGUUGUUCGGAUUCAUUGGGCGUAAAGGGUGCGUAGGUGGCGCCGUAAGUCAGGUGUGAAAUUUCGGAGCUUAACUUCGAAACUGCAUUUGAUACUGCGGUGCUUGAGGACUGGAGAGGAGACUGGAAUUUACGGUGUAGCAGUGAAAUGCGUAGAUAUCGUAAGGAAGACCAGUGGCGAAGGCGGGUCUCUGGACAGUUCCUGACACUGAGGCACGAAGGCCAGGGGAGCAAAUGGG